GUCUUACAGUCCUUUGGGGAGCGGCAAAACGAAAACGCGCGCCAGGUUCGUUGGCUGGCGUACGAGAGCCAGGUGCCCGUCUUACACUCGAAGAUUUACGCUCCCGAACAAGAGCCGCACCCAAACGAAAUCGUCGGCAAGGUUGGUACAACUUGUCGGCCGAGGUUGGCAAGCGUGAGCGUGAAAACGUAAACAAACCCACGUGAGAGCUCCAGUGUGACCGCGGGCUGUUCAAGUAAUUAUGGAUGCGCUAAGUACUCCCAGAGAAAAAUCCUCUUCCCUGAGCCAUGAGCAAAAGAGAACUUUAGUAAACUUGAUUGCAGUCAACAAAGUGGUUCUGGAUAAGAGUGGCCAGUACUAUUUGAUUAGUAAAAAGAGGGAGGCAUGGGAGAAAAUAGCUGAAAACUACAAUGCAGCUCAUCCCAUCGCAGAGAUGAAGACGUCCCAGCAGCUGAAGAGGGCCUGGGAAUACCUCAGAAAUAGAGUCAAGAGUGACUUUGCAACAUACUCAAAGAAGAAGAGACAGACUGGUGGAGGUCCUCCCCCAACACCCCCGAAGUAUGAUCCUCUACUGGAGGCUGUGUCGUCGCUGGUGAAAAAUGAAUUGCUGUUCUCCGAGUAUCAGUACGACAACACCUGCACCGAGGUACCAACUCCUCCACCUUCAUCUGCUGCAUCACCAUAUCCUGACGCAUGUGGUUCUUUGCAGGAAGGAGACCAUGAGUCGAUUGCUGAGGAUCCCACCCCUAUCCCCUCAGCUGAAGCAGCAGCGAAUCCUGAUUCAUCUACCAUACGUGCACUGCAG